UACGGGGGGGGCAAGCGUUGUUCGGAAUUACUGGGCGUAAAGGGCGCGUAGGCGGUUUGUUAAGUUGGUUGUGAAAACUCUGGGCUUAACCCAGAGCCUGCAUCCAAAACUAGCAAGCUAGAGUUCUGGAGGGGAUAGCGGAAUUCCUGGUGUAGCGGUGAAAUGCGUAGAUAUCAGGAGGAACACCGGUGGCGAAGGCGGCUAUCUGGACAGAAACUGACGCUGAGGCGCGAAAGCUAGGGGAGCAAACAGG
rnacentral:rRNA from 1 species